rnacentral:rRNA from 1 species
AUUGAACGCUGGCGGCAGGCCUAACACAUGCAAGUCGAGCGGAUGAAGGGAGCUUGCUCCUGGAUUCAGCGGCGGACGGGUGAGUAAUGCCUAGGAAUCUGCCUGGUAGUGGGGGAUAACGUCCGGAAACGGGCGCUAAUACCGCAUACGUCCUGAGGGAGAAAGUGGGGGAUCUUCGGACCUCACGCUAUCAGAUGAGCCUAGGUCGGAUUAGCUAGUUGGUGGGGUAAAGGCCUACCAAGGCGACGAUCCGUAACUGGUCUGAGAGGAUGAUCAGUCACACUGGAACUGAGAUACGGUCCAGACUCCUACGGGAGGCAGCAGUGGGGAAUAUUGGACAAUGGGCGAAAGCCUGAUCCAGCCAUGCCGCGUGUGUGAAGAAGGUCUUCGGACUGUAAAGCACUUUAAGUUGGGAGGAAGGGCAGUAAGUUAAUACCUUGCUGUUUUGACGUUACCAACAGAAUAAGCACCGGCUAACUUCGUG